rnacentral:rRNA from 1 species
UACGUAGGGUGCGAGCGUUGUCCGGAAUUAUUGGGCGUAAAGGGCUCGUAGGCGGCCAACUAAGUCAGACGUGAAAUCCCUCGGCUUAACCGGGGAACUGCGUCUGAUACUGGAUGGCUUGAGUGUGGGAGAGGGAUGCGGAAUUCCAGGUGUAGCGGUGAAAUGCGUAGAUAUCUGGAGGAACACCGGUGGCGAAGGCGGCAUCCUGGACCAUUACUGACGCUGAGGAGCGAAAGCCAGGGGAGCAAACGGG